rnacentral:rRNA from 1 species
CCUACGGGAGGCAGCAGUGGGGGAUAUUGCUCAAUGGGGGAAACCCUGAAGCAGCAACGUCGCGUGGAGGAUGAAGGUUUUAGGAUUGUAAACUUUUUUUGUUAGAGAAGUUUAUGACGGUAUCUAACGCUUUUGCACCGGCUAACUCCGUGACAGCAGCCGCGGUAAUACGGAGGGUGCAAGCGUUACUCGGAAUCACUGGGCGUAAAGAGUGCGUAGGCGGGGUAAUAAGUCAGUUGUGAAAUCCUGUAGAUUAACUACAGAACUGCAUUUGAAACUGUUACUCUGGAGUGUAGGGGAGGUAGGUGGAAUUCGUGGUGUAGGGGUAAAAUCCGUAGAGAUCACGAAGAAUACUGAUUGCGAAGGCAACCUACUAAAACGUUACUGACACUGAUGCACGAAAGCGUGGGGAGCAAACAGGAUUAGAUACCCCUGUAGUC